rnacentral:lncRNA from 1 species
CUAAAGCCCUCUCCCCAACCCCUCCACUGAAUGACACAGAUCCAGGUAAAACCACUUCUCCAGUGGAGAAACUGUGCAAUAAAAAAAGGAAAGUUGCAGCAAGACCUACAUCCAGGAAUGGCCAUGUGACUCAAGACAGACAUCAGUUUAUGCUACCAACAGCGCUAUGCAUUGGGAGAGGCUGACCUAGAACUGUAUGGAUGCCCAAUCCCUAGAGAACCUACGUUCGCCCCAACCAAGGGCAGGUCAUGGAGGCUGUGGGGUCUACACCGACUCAUGAAUUGGCUGGGCUGAUGAGCACACCUGGCCACCCAUCUGCUUUGGAGUCCACGCGCUUCCACUGGACCUUGGAUUAUCUCUUCUCCAGCAGGGCAGGAUGGGUGGUGGGAGGUGGAAGGGCAGUGACCACUACUGUCAAUCCUGGAGAGGCACUGGCUUCACAGUGAAAGUUAAUAAGGCCCUGAGGCUCCCCAAGAUUCUAAAAUAAAAAGAUUAACCACU